rnacentral:rRNA from 1 species
GCCCUGGCAGUCAGAGGCGAUGAAGGACGUGCUAAUCUGCGAUAAGCGUCGGUAAGGUGAUAUGAACCGUUAUAACCGGCGAUUUCCGAAUGGGGAAACCCAGUGUGUUUCGACACACUAUCAUUAACUGAAUCCAUAGGUUAAUGAGGCGAACCGGGGGAACUGAAACAUCUAAGUACCCCGAGGAAAAGAAAUCAACCGAGAUUCCCCCAGUAGCGGCGAGCGAACGGGGAGCAGCCCAGAGCCUGAAUCAGUGUGUGUGUUAGUGGAAGCGUCUGGAAAGGCGCGCGAUACAGGGUGACAGCCCCGUACACAAAAAUGCACAUACUGUGAGCUCGAUGAGUAGGGCGGGACACGUGGUAUCCUGUCUGAAUAUGGGGGGACCAUCCUCCAAGGCUAAAUACUCCUGACUGACCGAUAGUGAACCAGUACCGUGAGGGAAAGGCGAAAAGAACCCCGGCGAGGGGAGUGAAAAAGAACCUGAAACCGUGUACGUACAAGCAGUGGGAGCACGCUUAGGCGUGUGACUGCGUACCUUUUGUAUAAUGGGUCAGCGACUUAUAUUCUGUAGCAAGGUUAACCGAAUAGGGGAGCCGAAGGGAAACCGAGUCUUAACUGGGCGUUAAGUUGCAGGGUAUAGACCCGAAACCCGGUGAUCUAGCCAUGGGCAGGUUGAAGGUUGGGUAACACUAACUGGAGGACCGAACCGACUAAUGUUGAAAAAUUAGCGGAUGACUUGUGGCUGGGGGUGAAAGGCCAAUCAAACCGGGAGAUAGCUGGUUCUCCCCGAAAGCUAUUUAGGUAGCGCCUCGUGAAUUCAUCUCCGGGGGUAGAGCACUGUUUCGGCAAGGGGGUCAUCCCGACUUACCAACCCGAUGCAAACUGCGAAUACCGGAGAAUGUUAUCACGGGAGACACACGGCGGGUGCUAACGUCCGUCGUGAAGAGGGAAACAACCCAGACCGCCAGCUAAGGUCCCAAAGUCAUGGUUAAGUGGGAAACGAUGUGGGAAGGCCCAGACAGCCAGGAUGUUGGCUUAGAAGCAGCCAUCAUUUAAAGAAAGCGUAAUAGCUCACUGGUCGAGUCGGCCUGCGCGGAAGAUGUAACGGGGCUAAACCAUGCACCGAAGCUGCGGCAGCGACGCUGAUGCGUUGUUGGGUAGGGGAGCGUUCUGUAAGCCUGUGAAGGUGUGCUGUGAG